rnacentral:rRNA from 1 species
GGCCGCGGGAAUUCGAUUCAGGCCUAACACAUGCAAGUCGAGCGAGUGGAUCUCCUUCGGGAGAGAAGCUAGCGGCGGACGGGUGAGUAACACGUGGGCAACCUGCCUCAUAGAGGGGAAUAGCCUCCCGAAAGGGAGAUUAAUACCGCAUAAGAUUGUAGCUUCGCAUGAAGUAGCAAUUAAAGGAGCAAUCCGCUAUGAGAUGGGCCCGCGGCGCAUUAGCUAGUUGGUGAGGUAACGGCUCACCAAGGCGACGAUGCGUAGCCGACCUGAGAGGGUGAUCGGCCACAUUGGGACUGAGACACGGCCCAGACUCCUACGGGAGGCAGCAGUGGGGAAUCUUUCACAAGGGGGGAAACCCUGAUGCAGCAACGCCG